AUUUCAUUCAAACAGGUCAAGAGGAGUUGAUGAAGGAUGAAUUAGAAUAAACAUAUAAUAAGUGUACUGAAUACUAGUAAGUGGAUAUAUUAUAUCUAGUCACUAGUAUUCAGUACAAAGUUAUAUUCCCAACCUCAAUCUACGAUGUCUUAUUCGCUUAUUUGUUUGCAUUAUUUAGUUUAAAUUAAAUUAUUACAACUUAUAUAGUUAUACAUCCAUCGUAUAAACAAAUAUAGUCAUCAUUAAUAAGCCAUGGGUGGAUGCAACAGAUCCGAUAGCAAGAAUCAAAAGCUUCAAGGACGGAUUCAAUUCUUCAGAUUUCCCCCACCAAAAAAUCCAAAGGAACUAGAAAGAAGAAACAAAUGGAUUAGUAAUCUUAAGUAUCGACUUGAUUGGAAACCUAAAAUCUAUUCGUUUGUCUGUAAGAAUCAUUUUGAAUCCCAUAGUUUUUUUUACUAAAGCAUCUACAAAUAAGAAGUACUUGAGACUUGAUGCGAGACACAGACACACUCCUCGAUGAAGAGAUAAUGGGGAAAUCUGGAAGCAGCUUGACUCAGCAUUGUUCUAGUGUUCAAACAAAUACAAAAUCCACGAUUCACGAACCAAGACUUUCGUCCGCAAUGACUCAUAAUUCAUAAUGAGUUCAAGAACUCACUCCAUUUAAUAAAUGAUUUAUAAAUAAUACAAGGUAUUUGUUAUUAUUUUGAAACAGCUGUUUCAUCAAAACACCCUCUAGCGCCUGUAAAAGAACUACAUUUGGUCCUUCUUCUUUUUGGAAAAAAAAAGAAGUUCAUGUAUUUGUAGUGCCA
rnacentral:lncRNA from 1 species